rnacentral:lncRNA from 1 species
GUUUCCUGUGCUAUCUAAUUAUCUCUGCCGAAUGGGUUGAGUACAUGAAAGACUUUGUACAAUCCGAAAUACAGGCUGUUGUGAACUACAUAGCUGAAAAAGAAAUACGGAAAAAUCAAAUCAUAAGAGGAAGAUAACCACAGUUUUGUGGGAAAACACAUCUCUGCCCAACAGUCAGGAGAGCUAGUCUGAUAUGCAGUGGACUGGAUGCUGGAAAAGCUGAACAGAG